AGUUAUUGUGAAAUAUGUAAUAAAUUUUUGUUAACUAUAGUCUCCUUACUAUACUAUUGAAUAUUAGAAUUUAUUGCUUCUAUCAAAGUAUAUUUUUGUACCCAUUAACCAACUUCUCUUCAUCCUCCCUUCCUUCUACCCUUCCCAGCCUCUGGUAACCAACUAUUCAAUUCUUACCUUCAUGAGAUCCGCUUUUUUAGCUCUCCUAUAUGAGUGAGAACAUAUGAACUUUCCUGUGCCUAGCUUAUUUCACUUAACAUAAUGACCUUCAGGACCAUCCAUGUUGCUGCAAAUGACAGGAUUUUAUUCUUCUCUAUGGCUGAAUAUUCCGUCACAUAUAUGUACCACAUUUUCUUUAUCCAUUCAUCCGUUGAUGGAUGCAGGUUGAUUUCAUUUCUUGGCCACUGAGACUAGAGCUGAGCUAGGAUAAAUGUGGGAGUAGAGCUCUCUCUCCAAUAUACUGAUCUCUCUUUUGGAUAUAUGCCUAGCUUACCAAAAAAAGAGCUUAUCUCAUUAAUCAUUUUAUAUUGAUUACAUGUUGAACCAAUACAUCAGGUUAAAUAAUGUAUGCUAUAUAAUUAAUUUCCCCAUUUUAUUUUGCUUUAACUUU